rnacentral:tRNA from 1 species
ACGGGUUUAGCUCAGUUGGUAGAGCAUUGGUCUCCAAAACCAAGGGUCGAGAGUUCAAGUCUUUCAACCCGUGC